rnacentral:rRNA from 1 species
AGUAUAACAGAACUGUGGGGACACGUAAGGAGAGCGGGAGCCGGGAAUGGAAAGCCCGGUACAAGCGAGGUACCAGUAUGGUAGGAAAAACCGCCAUGCAAUGGGAAGACGUGAUGUGGAGUGAAAUAUAGUAACGAAGCCCGUGAGCCAUGCGUCAAGAAAAGCCGCUAUUGUUUAUAUUGUACCCGUACCGUAAACCGACACAGGUGGAUGAGGAGAGAAUCCUAAGGCCGGCGGAAGAAGUAUUGCCAAGGAACUCGGCAAAAUGGCCCCGUAACUUAGGGAGAAGGGGUGCCUGCGAGAGCAGGCCGCAGAGAAUAGGCUCAAGCAACUGUUUAGCAAAAACACAGGUCUAUGCGAAACCGAAAGGUGAGGUAUAUGGGCUGACGCCUGCCCGGUGCUGGAAGGUUAAGAGGAGAGGUUAGACGCAAGUCGAAGCUUUGAAUUUAAGCCCCAGUAAACGGCGGCCGUAACAAUAACGGUCCUAAGGUAGCGAAAUUCCUUGUCGGGUAAGUUCCGACCCGCACGAAAGGCGUAAUGAUUUGAGCGCUGUCUCGGCAAUACAUCCGGUGAAAUUGAAGUGCCAGUGAAGAUGCUGGCUACCCGCGCCAGGACGGAAAGACCCCAUGGAGCUUUACUCCAGUUUGGCACUGGGGUCCGGUGUUGCAUGUACAGGAUAGGUGGGAGGCUGAGAGAUAGUGACGUCAGUUGCUAUGGAGCCGCUGUUGGGGUACCACCCUUGUGGGGGCUUCUAACCAGCCGCCGUGAACCGGCGGUGGGACAAUGCCAGGCGGGGAGUUUGACUGGGGCGGUCGCCUCCGAAAGGGUAUCGGAGGCGCCCAAAGGUUCCCUCAGAAUGGACGGAAACCAUUCGAAGAGUGCAAAGGCAGAAGGGAGCUUGACUGCGACACCGACGGGUGGAGCAGGUACGAAAGUAGGGCUUAGUGAUCCGGUGGUAUUAAGUGGGAAUGCCAUCGCUCAACGGAUAAAAGCUACCCUGGGAUAACAGGCUUAUCACUCCCAAGAGUUCACAUCGACGGAGUGGUUUGGCACCUCGAUGUCGGCUCAUCGCAUCCUGGGGCUGUAGCAGGUCCCAAGGGUUGGGCUGUUCGCCCAUUAAAGCGGUACGCGAGCUGGGUUCAGAACGUCGUGAGACAGUUCGGUCCCUAUCCGGCGUGGGCGUAGGAUAUCUGAGAGGAGCUGUCCUUAGUACGAGAGGACCGGGAUGGACGGACCGCUGGUGGACCGGUUGGCUUGCCAAAGCCAUGGCCGGGUAGCCAAGUCCGGAAGGGAUAAACGCUGAAGGCAUCUAAGCGUGAAGCCCCCCUCAAGAUGAGAUAUCCCAUUCUUUAAGAAGUAAACCCCCUUGAAGACGACGAGGUAGACAGGGCAGAGGUGGAAGUGUGGUAACACAUGGAGCUGACUGUUACUAAUCGGGUGAGGGCUUGACC